UAUGACCAUAUCAUGUUGAAAUACAAGUUCUCUUCUGAUCACUGAAGUUAAGCAACAUUGAUCCUUGUCAGUACCUAGAUGGGUGACAGCUUGGGAAA